AGAGCAAGGACAUAAAUAAUUCAAAAGAUAUUUAUGAAAAUCCUGACAAAAUCCAAGAUGAUGCGAAUUAUGAACAAGUGGAAAAUGAACAGUCGACGUAUACAGCUCUCAAAAGGACUGGGAAGGACGAAAAUGAUGAUCACUUAUAUAGCCAUUUAAAUGAAGUACACAAGGACUACGUGAAUCAGAAGGAAACUGGAAUUUAAGGGGGCUCUUGUACGAAGCCCGUUUGGUUUAUCUAGUGGAUAAGCUCAGUAUAGAAAAACAAGUCGGCAUACAUUUGUUAAAUAACCAAACAGAACGUUUUCGACUUGAAUAGAAAAGUAUCAACCUGUAUUAAUAACUCAUUAUAUCUAUAAAAUACACUAACUAUAAUCUAUAACCGUGUUUACAUUGCAAACUCAGCUAGGCAUGGCCUGAACCUUGCUUUGGCCUACAUUUUGGUAGAGUGAACGAACUUUGCCGUAGCCUAGGUCAGAAAAUCUGGGCUCAUUGCGAUUGUUGAUUAAUGCUUGCCUUAGCCAAGCCUUGUGGCAAUUAAUAUAUAUAAAUAAUGUAAACGCAUCACAAUAGGCAAUUCCAGCUAUAGACUAAAUUUUGAUCUAGGCAAGAAGAACAAACUCAAUCACCACAGCUAGAAAGAGCAUGUUAAAAUUAGUAAAAUUGCAAAGUUUGGUGGCGAAAUGUUGUAAAAUGCGGAAAAUAUAGCCCUGCGAAAUUUGCAAAUUUUGUAUUAACUUGUAUUACGCACAGG